CAGAGCUCCCCAGCAAUAAUACUCCCAGUAAUGUGUCUGAGUGUAUAACAUAGCUCCACAGCAAUAAUACUCCCAGUAAUGUGUCUGAGUGUAUAACAGAGCCCCAAAGUAAUAAUACUCCCAGUGAUGUGUGUGAGUGUAUAACAGAGCUCCACAGCAAUAAUACUCCCAGUGAUGUGUCCGAGUGUAUAACAGAGCCCCACAGCAAUAAUACUCCCAGUGAUGUGUCCGAGUGUAUAACAGAGCUCCACAGCAAUAAUACUCCCAGUGAUGUGUCCGAGUGUAUAACAGAGCUCCACAGCAAUAAUACUACCAGUGAUGUGUCCGAGUGUAUAACAGAGCUCCACAGCAAUAAUACUCCCAGUGAUGUGUCCGAGUGUAUAACAGAGCUCCACAGCAAUAAUACUCCCAGUAAUGUGUCUGAGUGUAUAACAGAGCUCCACAGCAAUAAUACUCCCAGUAAUGUGUCUUAAUGUGUCUUUAACCACUUCCUGAAGCUAAGGCGUGCUAUGAGGGCUUUAAAGUGCUAAUGGACUCCCAGAGUAACUUAUCUAUACCUAUCCAUAUCUGUCUCUUCCUAAAGAGCCACACUCCAUUCUCACCUCCAGCUCUGCUACUUUUCCACCUUGUGUGGUGGCUGUCACCCUUGCUGCCCUGUUGUGUAUUUGUACCCCACCUCCUCUAGAGACUGUAAGCUCGUUUGAGCAUUGCCCUCAAUUACCUAUCGUUCCUGUGUCACUGUGUAAUUGUCUCAUUUAUUGUAAAUUUCCCUCCCUUUCAUAAUAUUGUAAAGCAAUGUGGAAUUAGUUGGCGUAAUAUAAAUACCAAUAAUAAUAAUAAUAAUUAAUAAAGCCGUUAGGGCUGCAUGGCACGCAUAGGACCUUCUCCAGACAGGAUACUUACCCUGCUAGCCGCAUCAGAUUGGGGGGACUGCCUGACAACGCAGCCAGUCCCUCUACAGCCAAUCCCGCCAACUACAGUCAUGUGAUUGCAGCGACACCGCAAUCACAUGACUUGG